rnacentral:rRNA from 1 species
UACAGAGGUGUCAAGCGUUGUUCGGAUUCAUUGGGCGUAAAGGGUUCGUAGGCGGCUCGGUAAGUCGGGUGUGAAAUCUCGGAGCUUAACUCCGAAACUGCAUUCGAUACUGCCGUGCUUGAGGACUGGAGAGGAGACUGGAAUUUACGGUGUAGCGGUGAAAUGCGUAGAUAUCGUAAGGAAGACCAGUGGCGAAGGCGGGUCUCUGGGCAGUUCCUGACGCUGAGGAACGAAGGCAAGGGGAGCAAACGGG